UUUUUUUUUUUUUUUUUUUUUGUGUAAUGAAAUUUGUAAGGACUACAACAACUGAAUAUAUUUGUAACAAACCACAACUAUACCUAGUCCAAGACUGUGUAAAAUGGUUUCUUUUUUUGGUUAUUCAUUUCCCUAGAGAUGCAUGACUGUAAUACUUGGCCAUGCUAAAAGUCAAAUAUUAAUUUUUACUUGCGUGCAAUGUGCAGUUUUUUUUUUUUUUUUUUUUUAAAUUCGGACUGAAUUUGUUGAUUUUACCUAUCCAACCGAGAACCCAAAAGUACAAGGGUCUUAGUUUACCUAAAAACCUAGAAUAAAUCUUAUAUACCGUAUAUACACUAUUACCAUUGAAUCCAUGGUAUAUGUGUAAAAGUUGAAUUUUAAAUUUAAUUUUUUUUUUAUAAUUGUCAUUCAUUCAAAGUUGAUAGUGUGUACACUGUCGGUGUAUAGAAGAUUAAUCCAAAACCAAUCCAACUUAGUAAAAAACCAGGAAAAUUAAUGAGAAGUGUGGUUUUUUUUUUUUUCUAUUUCUUUCUUCCUUUCUUUAUCCUUUUUUUUUUUUCAGCUUUCUGCUUACUUUUUUUUUUUUUGGUUUUCUGUUUUUGACUUUUCCUAAAUCUCCUACUCAUCCAAUGCCAAUUUCAUCUCUCAAACAAAAACGAAUGACACAUCUGAGUUCAACAAAGGGAAAAGCAAAAGAACAUAGCGAAAAAGGAAAGUGAAUUGAGAGAGAGAGGAUUCAAGGGUACAAAAAAAGAAGUAACAAAAGAAAAAGAAUAGAUGAGAAACGUCUUUUCAUUUUGUUGACAGAAUAAAGCAAAAGGAAAGAAAAGGAAAGGAAUGAAAAGAAAAAAACGAAAGAGUAACAAGUUUUGGAAAAAGAAAUGGAGAAACAAGAAAACAGAAGACAAAGUAAGGAUUGGUGCAUCAGAUGAAAGGGAUUAUAAUUGAUGGUGGGAUAACCAUCAUCCAGUGAGGCCCAAUAUGUUUACAUCCUAUUUAGUAUCUGCUGGUUGGUUUGAAAGAGGUGGAGACUCAGGGUUAAUAUCACUUUAUCCCCUUAACGUUCGGUGUCACUAUCAAUUUUCUCCUUAACAUUAUCUUUUAGUCACUUUAUCCCCAAAACUAACGAUCAAACUUAACGGAGCUUGUUAAUUAAAAUUAAAAGACAUGUUUAACUCUUAAAAUUAUUAUCACUUUACCCCUACAAACUGUAACCUCAUUAUCAAUUUACCGCAUAGAAUUAUUUUUAAGGCAAUUUAUCCUACCAUUAAACCAACUUAACAAGUUAAAGAACUUUAGAACAAAGUGCCCUCCUCUUUGUAUAAUAAAAAUAAUAAAAAAAUUUAGAGUGAUUCGUCUUUUUUUUAGUAUCACGAAAAAGGUCAAAGUGUUAAUUUCUUUCUUAUUGGCAAUCUUAUUAAUAUUGCAAAAAAAAAAAUAGAAAGAUGGAGAGGGGGAGGAGGAGAGAUAGAGAAAGAGAAAGAGCUCAAUUCUUUUUUAAAAAAUACAAAUAAAAAAGAAUUAAAUACUUUUAUUAUUUUAAAAGUAUUUCACUUUUUUUGUUUACCACCAAAUUCCAAUUCUAAUUCCGAUAGCCUUAAAGUAAUAUGAUAAUCUAUUCCCUAGUUUUUGUCCUCUGCCUCGUUCUCUUUCGUCUAUGCAUAAAUUGCAUAAUGAAAUUUUCAUAAAUUGACACAAUAACUCAGAAACCAACAAGAAAAUAGGAAGUUUAAUGGCAAAAUUUGACACAAUUGGCUAGUAGUGUGCCUCUUUUGUGAGAUGAGCGAGUGAUUAAAAAUUAAAAAUUAACUGAGUGGCAGAGCAGGUACGUUCCGUAGUUCUUCCUUUCUGUUUCAAUGGACCUAAGAUGCACAAAAUGUCUAUAUGGGCCACCGCAAUAAUUCCAGCAACAGGUCUAUAUCUUUUCGUUGGCACAGACGAAGGACUUAGCCCAUUGGCGCUUAUAAUUAAUGUCAAAUGUUUCGAAGACUAGGUUCGAUAUAUUCUUUACCCCAUGGCCAAACUUCUUUCCACUGAAAUCGGCAAACUAGUACAUGGAUCCAAUAUCGCAACGGAUCUUCUGUUCCACACCUUGUGCCACUCUCUGUCCCACUUUUUAGUAUAUUGAUAUUUCUCCUGUAUAAACAUCACGUUUUAGUUCUUUUUUGUUUUCUUAAGAUUCAAUAACUAUUAAUUGAGUAAAAAAUAAAUACAGGAGGUUCAAAAAAGUAAUAUAUAAUAGAAAAUUAAAAAAUACAGCAGAAAAUUCAUAAAAAAUUUCAAUUUUUAUGUAUUUUGGUUUUUUGAGCUUGUUAAAUUUUGUGUAUUACUCAAUUAAUAGUUAUUGGAUCUUAAGGAAACAAAAAAGAACUAAAACGUGAUGUUUAUACAGGAGAAAUAUCAAUAUACUAAAAAAUGGGACAGAAAAUGGCACAGGGUGUGGGACAGAAGAUACGUUGUGAUCCAAUAUGGAUAACUAGUACAUGAAUACGACAUAUCUUUCUCUAUAUUCCCACAGGCAUGGCACCGAAACGUGGCCCGCUGGUUUUUGAAGGUCAAAGCGUGUACAUGGCUUGGAUGCUUCAAUUUACGGUCUUCAAUGGUAACACAUAUGAUGUCGAGGUCAAAUGCACAAGGGUUAUAGUGAUAGGUGAAGUUUCUCCACAUUUGUUGGCGGCCAUUACAGAAGCAGCUGCCUCCACUGUAAGGCGGCUUGUCAAUAAGGAUGAGGCGGUGCUGAGGGUGCAUGGCAUGAGAAAUGUCCUUUGGAAGUUCAGCACAUCUUUUGUGAAGGAAGAAGCUACACUUUCCACAAGAAUAUGUGGGCUCUGCAAGGAUUGGCGUUUGGCAGCCAUAGCAAACUGAUUUUCGAACAAUCUCAUCUCUUUCCCCUUUCACCAGAAUCAGCAGAUGCUCGUGGCUGAAAUGUUUCAGGUAUUCCAUUUCUAUGAUAUGCUAUGUGGAAAUCAAAGCUAAGAUGGGGAAAAUUACUAUGAGGAUGGCUUGACAAUGAAAGGUUGUGUUUCUACUUUGGAUCAAUUCCAAGAACUUCUUAAUAGUACAUAGAAAGAGGUGAAUCCAAAAUUAAUCUAUUACACGUUUGGAAUCUUUUCCUUUCCGCUGAUGUUAUCGUCUCUGCUAUAACAGUUACCUUUCGCUUUGGCUCAAAGUAGGGAUCCUCAGCAUCCUAAGUUGUCCUGUCCUAACUCCUAACAUAUUUCUUAGCCGUUUGUAGUGUCAACUUUUCUUCCUCUAUUGCGCUUUUCUUCCUAGCAAUAUUAUCCUACCUGCCUACUUUGAGUCGGUAGAUAUAUGUUGCAGGACAAGUUAUAAGAGAAGUGAUCCCUACCAUCCACCUCUUCGAGAAAAAAAAAAAAAAAAACAAAUGCAGAAGACAGAACAACCUUUGUUUAUUCCCAACAUACUUUGCAAUUGGAAGAGUGACACCAAUACAACUUGUUUGAACAAGGAUAUCUGCAUUUGCCUUUUCCCAAAUAGGGUACAUUAAAUUAAACACAUCACUCAGAAAUCUUAGCAGGACCAGCGAUUUUGCCAGAAUUAGCUACUCUUGCUACAUAUUUAAUGCAUAUAUAGAACUGGCAAGUUUCACAUUUAAACACCCUGUUGCCAUACAUCCGUUCAUGGCAAGAGUCGCAGGUGGAACGAUAUUCACCAUCACAAACUAACUUGAGAGGGUGCGGAUGUCUUCCAAAUUCAAGAAUGCGCCCAAAAUUGCAAUUUCGUGUCACACCAAGUCCGGGGAUACAACGAGGGUGAAAAGAUUGAUCACACUCGCGACAAUGAUAGUGCCAACGCCUGGGAUGAAUUUCUUCUUUGCAAAUCUCACAAUAGAAUUCAUCAGGACGGUCACUGAAAGGAGGAAAGCUUAGGGGAAGAGCGUAUUUAUCCCACCUGUGAUUGACACUCUCUGGUAGCAAAGCACAUUCAUAGUCCAAAUAGAAACCACAAGGCUCACAGGCAUAAAGAAAACUACGAACAACAUUUCCACAGGAGUUACAUCUGUUGCCAUUGCCCCUAUACAUUUGAACAAGGGAAUGCUCGUGUGCUUUGUGAUCGAUUGUGGAGGGUAAUAAAGCACACUUCACAUCAUGAUCAAAAGUAUACAACCUGCAUGUGUCACACUUGAAUAAGUAGCCAUUAUAGUCCAGAUUGCACGCGCUACACUUGAUCAUCCCCCAUACAAAUGACACAAAAGCCAGCUUAAGUUUAUGCUUCUCAUGACUUGGGUGUUGUAGUUCCUCUGGUAAUUGAGCACAGGUUAAGUGGACAAAAUAAUUGCAUUGAGUACAAUGGCAGCACAAGGAAACAACAGGUUCAAUGCAUCGGUUGCACGUUAUGCGUUCAAUAUUUCUUGAUUUGAUAAGUUUCUGGAUGUCCACAAUAGCCAAGGUAUGUUGGCAACAACUGACCUGUACUUUCUUGGGAACUCGCAUAAUCUCCAGGCCCUGUUUUUUCUCCAAAAUGUGUCUCAUUUCCUGGACAAAAUAGUUGGUAGGUAAUUGGACCAAAUCCUCCUCAUCUUCCUUACCCUUUGGUCCAUGCAUUCCACGCCUGCUUAUACAGAAGGAGAUGUUUAAAGGUGAUUACAUCAAUAGAUGAAAGAAAGCAAAAUGUGACGGCAAAAUCAUGUUCACUUCUAUCAAAACAAAAUCAAAAUGGGAAUGUACUCUCUUGUCAAUUAUGCAACAAAGAGGGCACAUGCAGGAUUCAGGAAAUACAGGGGUACUCGAUAAUGAAUAUCAAUCAAUUCGGUGUCUCGCCACGAAGUGGGUUCUCUAUAAUGUUAUAAUCAUUGAACUGAACAACCUGGAUUAUUCUAUAACUAAGAAAAAAAAUGAAGAAUACUUGCGGUAGAAUCCUGUCCCUUGUCAUGCACUUGAGAUGGACAAAGUAUCUACAGGGACCGCAAUAGUACACCCAAUUUUGGAAGGGUAUUUUCUUGAAGGAGAUGUCACACGGAAUUUCAUAUCUACAAUAUUCAAUCGGAAAACAAUAUGCAAGAGAAAGAGGAUGCUGAUGAGGCUUUCGAUGGUUGAUAGUCGGCAACAAGGCACAACUCCUAUGGAUCCAGAAGGUACAGGCAGUACAAAUAUAGGAUUGCUGCUCCUCUUUUGUUCCACAAGCAUCGCAAGCGAACGAAGCUAUUCUUUGUACCAGAGUCAGUGGAUGUUCGUGGCUAGGAUGUUCCAAUUUGCCUUGAGGAAAAGCACACAAGAUAUCAAGGUCGAAGUUACAACGAUAACAAUGAUAGACGAAGCUAUUCCAUGGUUGUCUACAGGCAUCGCACAAGCAUCUUCUGUCUUUGGGAUAAGGUGAAUUUGGCAGGAGUUUGAGUGGAUGGUUAGGGUGCAGGGGAUGAUGCAACAUCUCCCUUGGCAGCUCUGCACAUGUUUUGUGGAGGAAGAUGUUGCAUUCGCUGCAUUUGUAUGUGGGCUCUUCAAGAAUUGGUUUUUGACAGCCGUAGCAGACACUAUUAAUAGGUUUCUGAUCAUCGUGCUGGAGCUGAGUAGCGAGGAUGCUUUUCAUGGCUAAAGUGUUUCAGCUCCCCCUCCAUAUCUUUUGCCGUUUUAAUGUCGGCAAAACGUAAAAAAUGCUUAUCCUGGCUGGCUGGAGUGCUGCUGAUCUUGAAAGAAAGCGAUUGGACCAUAUGAGAAAUGUUAUGCCGUAUGUGCAUUAUUUGGCAGCUGAGCAAAGCAAAGGACAGUGGUGGAGGGAGCCAGUCUUGUCUUGUGAACAACUCCUCAGAUUUUGGAAUCUUUGAUCUUUUAUGCACUUUUUUUUUUUUAUUGUUUUGAGAUCAUUUGCUACAGGGAUUAACUAACUACAUGAUCAAUUGCUGCCUCUGCAGGUCCUCAAUCUUGGGAGUGCGAUGAAAUUGGACCUCUCCGGCAAACAUCAGAGAUAAUAUUAUACAUCUCCUUGAUUUAGCUGAAAUGAGCAGAUAAAAUGACAUGACAAAGCCAAACAAAAUACAGGCAAAGGUCGCGGAAUAUGCAAGAGAAAAAGGAUGCUGGUCAGGUAAGCACAACCCUUAUGUAGUGACAGGUAGCAUAAAUAUUGGAUUGCUCUUAUUUUGUUCCACAUGUAUCGCAAGUGAAUGAAGCUUGUCUUAUUAGCAGAGUUAAUGGAUGUUCAUGACUUAAAUAAAUGUUCCCAUUUGCCUUGAACAAAAAAGGCAUACAAGAUAUCUAUCAAGGUUGAAGUCACAAGAAUAACAACAGUAGAAGCAGCUCUUACAUUUUCCAGAACAGGCAUGGCAUGGCAUGGCAUGGCACAAGUAGUUUUGCCGACUAUCUGACGACCAUUUCAGAGAAACUAUAGGCAGCGCAUUACCUUACACCCAAGUAAAAGGAAAGUGGUUUAGGGUCUGUUUGGUUGGAAAUAAAAUGUUUUCUUUGGAAAAAUAUUUUCCGUGGAAGUAAUUUUUCAUGAAAAUCAUUUCCCUUUCAUCAUUUUCAGGUGUUUGGUUAACUUAUUGAAAAUAUUUUCUUACUUCAUUUUUCUGGUGUUUGUUUCUCUUUUGAAACAUUUUUACUUUUAUCUCUAUCUUUACUUUCUACACAUUAUAACUACAUACUUCUUCCCAUGCAAAAUAAGAAAAUUUAUCUCAUUGUUUAACUUUAAAAAAUCUUGGAGAAAUGUAUAUAUGAAUAAAAAAUAUUUCCUUAAGCAAUAAACAAAUUGCUGGCCAUUUAGUGUCAAAUAUCAAUCACAUGCAAUGUUUAUUGUGACAUAUAUCUUGCACUCUCACUGCUGAAAGUUUCUCUAGAAAAGAAUGUCCCUAUUAUACGUAAUUAAUUAUUAGCAUAGGAUGAGUAGGAUGAGAUUUUUUUUUUAUUUUGAAUAUACUAGAGGGAGGGUUGGAUUGGGUUGGGUUGGGUGGUACGGGGGAGGGAGUGUAAGGAAGAGGUCUUGGGUUCGAGUCCUGCUGUUUACACUAAAAAAAAAAAAAGGAACAUACUAUAAAAUGUUUUCAGUAAGUUUGGAACAUACUACAGGCGGGAUGCAUGCAUUUCGGAAAACAACUUCAGUAAGUUUGGAAGGGAAGUUAUUUUCCAUAAGAUGAGUGAAAAUAUUUUACAUAGGAAAAUGUUUUCAGUAACUUUUGUGCAAUCAAAUACGGGAAAUUAGGAAAAUAUUUUCCUGCAAAACAUUUUCACCUGAAACAAACGGACCCUUAGAAUCCUUAGUUUUUUUUUUAUAGGAUUCUUGAUUCGUGAGGCAAUGAGAUUUGAUCAUCAACCCGAUGGCAAGUAUAGAUUCUACUUCUUCAAUUUUCAUAGCUACUUCAGAUCCUUAACUUUGAGGAUUCUCCCACCCUAAUUCCAAUGAGAGAGUUGCUGCCAAUAUUAUUACACAUAAGAUGCUUUCAGCCGGGAGAGUGCAAAAUCAUUCUUCAAAAAUUAAUCCACUGGAAGAAUGACAUCUUGCAUCAACUCCAAAACUUGAUCAGAUAGCACAUAUUAACUUUCACAAGACCCGGAUUGGUCCUAAAAGAGCACAUGCCCACCAAUUUAACUAUUUUCUAAUCUGACUUUUUUUUUAUGAUUUAAUAAUUAGUUUUCUGAAAAAAAAAAGUUAUUUAAAACAAUAUAAAAAUUUUCACCAACAAUCAUGUUAUAAACCACCCAAUUUUUUGCAAAAAGUUUUAAAAAAUAUUUGGAAAAAAAAAAGGAGACAAACGUGAAAACAUUGGUUAAGUUGUACUACAUGGGUUAUACAUACGGUAAGGAGCAUGUGUUGAUCUUUCGUGUAUGUCCAUCUCCUGGGAUGCAAGAGCCAUGUCCAUGCAUUCACCAGGUACCAUGCCUAUGCAUAUAUCUCGACUAUAUACAUCCACCAGACGCAGAUCGAGAGCAACUAUAAGGAGAAGAAAGACUUGUGAAUCCCCAUGGCAGACAAGCUGUCUUUACCAAUAGCAGAGGUGGGGAUUUCCUUCACAAGAAACUAAAUAAUCGAAAUGACCAUCUAAAACAUGGGCUUCUGAUAUCUCUUCCAGGUAAAAGUUCUGAAGUUGUAGAGGCUGAAUUGUAAGGCUUGGUUAAAAAUCAUGGCAUGAAAAAGCAGAGGUAUAAGAUUCUUAUUGAAUCAUCAAAUGAACAUCUAUAAGCACGCAGGUUUUCUAUAAUAUCUCUUCCAGGUAAGCUCUAAAGUUUCUUAUCAUGGAGCAUCUCCACCUCGCAGGCUAUCAAAUACUAUGCAUUUCUCCACGAUUAGCUGAAAUAUGAGAAAAAAAUAUGGCAGCACAAACAGAAAUAAAAUGCAGGCGUAGAUAGAGGAAAUUGCAGAACAUCACAGCCAUUCAUCAGACAUGUACAUGAUGUGUAAACAACAUACAUCCAGCUUAUGUUUUUCAAUGUUGGACCACACUCUACCUAAUAUACAUGGAUAAAAGGACAAAAAUGCUUAGCCUCAUCAGAAGCCUACGAAAAAGAAAACUAAUAAAAACGAGUUACUAGGAUGUC
rnacentral:lncRNA from 1 species